UAUAUGAUGAAAUUAAUUGGUCCGUGUUGAUGAAUUUAGUUGAUUAUAAGUUUUACUCCAAUUACUGAUAAUU